AUUGAACGCUGGCGGUAGGCCUAACACAUGCAAGUCGAACGCGAAAGUCCUUCGGGAUGAGUAGAGUGGCGGACGGGUGAGUAACGCGUAGGAAUCUGUCCUGUAGUGGGGGAUAACGUUUCGAAAGGAACGCUAAUACCGCAUACGCCCUACGGGGAAAGCGGGGGAGUCUUCGGACCUCGUGCUAGAGGAGGAGCCUGCGUCGGAUUAGCUAGUUGGUGAGGUAAAGGCUCACCAAGGCGACGAUCCGUAGCUGGUCUGAGAGGAUGAUCAGCCACACCGGAACUGAGACACGGUCCGGACUCCUACGGGAGGCAGCAGUGGGGGAAUAUUGCGCAAUGGGCGAAAGCCUGACGCAGCCAUACCGCGUGAGUGAAGAAGGCCUUCGGUUGUAAGACUCUUUCUAGACGGAAAGG
rnacentral:rRNA from 1 species